ACCUUCUAUUUUCUCCUCUGUAG
rnacentral:piRNA from 1 species